rnacentral:rRNA from 1 species
UACGAAGGGUGCAAGCGUUGUUCGGAUUUACUGGGCGUAAAGCGCGCGCAGGCGGAUUGAUAAGUCAGAUGUGAAAUCUCAGGGCCCAACCCUGAAACUGCGUCUGAAACUAUUAAUCUAGGAUCUCGGAGAGGGAUGGGGAAUUUCUUGUGUAGGGGUAAAAUCCGUAGAGACAAGAAGGAACACCAGAGGCGAAGGCG